GCUUUAUUCACUGGGUCAGCCAUCGUAAUUGUGCUAUUACGCUUGCUCAGAUAGCAAAUAAUCUGUAAAUGAUUUCCCUUUUAACAAAAGCAAAAUACAGGGUUUAAAACAGCUUUUGUGCCAUAUCUAACAUGUCUUACGUUGACUGUAUAAAUAGUAGCUUUAAUGCUUCAUUAAUAAUUCAUAACAAUGAGUUACUUUAAAUGGGC